rnacentral:rRNA from 1 species
AUUCCCCCGGUUAACCGUAAAAUGGGUAAAUAUCCGAAGAACACCUUGUGGCGAAAGCGGUUUAAUAGCGAACCAUUAACGUUGAGGCGCAAAGGUAAGGGGAGCAAACCAGGAAUAGAUACCCUGGUAGUCCUAGCCCUAAACGAUGAAUGGUUGGUUGACCAAGUACCCAAUCCUGUCGUGCCGGAGCUAACGCAUUAAGCAUUCCGCCUGGGGAGUACGUUCGCAAGGCUGAAACUCAAAGGAAUGGACGGGGGCCCGCACAAGCGGUGGAGCAUGUGGUUCAAUUCGACGCAACGCGCAGAACCUUACCAGCCCNUGACAUCCCGGUCGCGGUUUCCAGAGAUGGAUUCCUUCAGUUCGGCUGGACCGGAGACAGGUGCUGCAUGGCUGUCGUCAGCUCGUGUCGUGAGAUGUUGGGUUAAGUCCCGCAACGAGCGCAACCCCCGUCCUUAGUUGCUACCAUUCAGUUGAGCACUCUAAGGAGACUGCCGGUGAUAAGCCGCGAGGAAGGUGGGGAUGACGUCAAGUCCUCAUGGCCCUUACGGGCUGGGCUACACACGUGCUACAAUGGCGGUGACAAUGGGAUGCUAAGGGGCGACCCUUCGCAAAUCUCAAAAAGCCGUCUCAGUUCGGAUUGGGCUCUGCAACUCGAGCCCAUGAAGUUGGAAUCGCUAGUAAUCGUGGAUCAGCAUGCCACGGUGAAUACGUUCCCGGGCCUUGUACACACCGCCCGUCACACCAUGGGAGCUGACUCAACCAGAAGACGAUCAGGCUAACCGCAAGGAGGCCUUCGGCGAAGGUGGGGUUGGUGACUGGGGUGAAGUCGUAACAAGGUAAAUCGAAUUCCCGCGGCCCGGUGGAAAUGCGUAAGGAUUAGGAAGGAACACCCAUUGCCGAAGGCGGUUUUUUUGGAUUUAACUCAACCUUGAGGCUUCGAAAGCGUGGGGAGCAAACCGGGUUUAGAUACCCUGGAGCUCCACCCCCGACAACGAGCAACCCACCCGCUCGGCCUUCCACGACCUCCGCCCCCCCCCCAACGCACCUCCCACUCCCGCCCGCCGACUCCGCUCGCACGCCUACCACUCAACCGACCUGCCCCGGCCCCCCACAACCCGCGGAGCACGUGGUUUACUUCGACCCAACGCGAAGAACCCUACCCUAGACCUGACAUCUCCCGCAUUACUCUUAAUCGAGGAAGUUCCUUCGGGAACAGGAAGACAGGUGGUGCAUGGUUGUCGUCAGCUCGUGUCGUGAGAUGUUGGGUUAAGUCCCGCAACGAGCGCAACCCCUAUUGUUAGUUGCUACCAUUAAGUUGAGCACUCUAGCGAGACUGCCCGGGUUAACCGGGAGGAAGGUGGGGAUGACGUCAAAUCAUCAUGCCCCUUAUGUCUAGGGCUACACACGUGCUACAAUGGCCGGUACAAAGAGAUGCUAAACCGUGAGGUGGAGCUAAACUAUAAAACCGGUCUCAGUUCGGAUUGUAGGCUGAAACUCGCCUACAUGAAGCUGGAGUUGCUAGUAAUCGCGAAUCAGAAUGUCGCGGUGAAUACGUUCCCGGGCCUUGUACACACCGCCCGUCACACCAUGGGAGUUGGUUGCUCCAGAAGCAGGUAGUCUAACCGCAAGGGGGACGCUUGCCACGGAGUGGUCAAUGACUGGGGUGAAGUCGUAACAAGUAAAUGAAUUCCCGCGGCC